UGGGAUAUAGCCAAGCGGUAAGGCUUCUGACUCUGAAUCAGACAUGCACAGGUUCGAAUCCUGUUAUCCCAGCCA
rnacentral:tRNA from 1 species